ACGGGUGCGUAACGCGUGGGAAUCUGCCCUUAGGUUCGGAAUAACAGCUGGAAACGGCUGCUAAUACCGGAUGAUAUCGCGCGAUCAAAGAUUUAUCGCCUGAGGAUGAGCCCGCGUUGGAUUAGGUAGUUGGUGGGGUAAAGGCCUACCAAGCCGACGAUCCAUAGCUGGUCUGAGAGGAUGAUCAGCCACACUGGGACUGAGACACGGCCCAGACUCCUACGGGAGGCAGCAGUGGGGAAUAUUGGACAAUGGGCGCAAGCCUGAUCCAGCAAUGCCGCGUGAGUGAUGAAGGCCCUAGGGUUGUAAAGCUCUUUUACCCGGGAAGAUAAUGACUGUACCGGGAGAAUAAGCCCCGGCUAACUCCGUGCCAGCAGCCGCGGUAAUACGGAGGGGGCUAGCGUUGUUCGGAAUUACUGGGCGUAAAGCGCACGUAGGCGGCUUUGUAAGUCAGAGGUGAAAGCCUGGAGCUCAACUCCAGAACUGCCUUUGAGACUGCAUCGCUUGAAUCCAGGAGAGGUCAGUGGAAUUCCGAGUGUAGAGGUGAAAUUCGUAGA
rnacentral:rRNA from 1 species